ensembl:snoRNA Z30 small nucleolar RNA
AGCACUGAUGAACGGAAGUAUAGUCUGACCUGGUAUUGCCCACUUAUAGGCUCUGACCAGGACCUGAAGACUGUAAUCUUCUCUCUGAGCUG